GGCGGGUCCCGGAAGACUAGGUCGAAUUCCGCGGCGAAUUCCAAGCGCUCGAGGUGGGGAAGGGCUUGCAGCGCCUUUGGAGUCGGCCGCCACUGCUCUACGGCAGAAGGACGAGAUUGCCACCUGCAGGCUGGGGAGCAGGGCACGCCUGGGCUGGUCUUCUGAAUCCUCCGCCGCGAAGGGGCCCCCCGGGCUUUGUAACAACCUAGGGCCCGGCGGAGUGAGUUUCCACGUCUGCAAUAAAGGCAAACCGGGGACGGCGCGGCUCGGACCGAUCCCCUUCCCUGCGCGCCCCGGCUGUGUGGUAGACUGGAACGCGCUUGGACAGAAGGAAAAGUGCCCUGGGCAAGCGUGACAUCGCUUUGGGGGCUUCGCGCAGCUGGACUGCAAAGGGUUGAACAGUUGCACAAGCAGGCAUGGUACAGUAAAUUUCCGCCACCGCCGAUGACUAAGUCUUUAGAGCUUCGAAAGGAUUUAGAGCAACCUUCAAGAUACAUACAGUAUAGCACGACAAAGGACAUUGAAUAUAGGUGAGGAAAAGACAGAAUAAAUACAGGAAAUUGUACAGAACCAAGCUCACAGGAGACAUCCUGACCAGGCGGACCUGUGGAUGACUGCAGGGAGGAAGAAAUUAACACAUCUUUUAUGGAGGCUGACUGGAACCAGGAAAUGUUUGACUUCACUCCCUCCCCUUUUAGUAUAAAAGAAGCCUGAAUUCUAACUCAGGCAAGAUGGUUCUUUGGGGGCACGAGUUCACCAUCUUCUUGGUUUGCUGGGUUUCUGAAUAAAGUCGCUUGC